UAAUACUCCAUAGGUCACGAGAUCUGGAAAGACUUGUGGCUCAAAGUUCAGGCGCUCUAGGAUUGGUCUGCGGCCUAUCAGGUAGUAGUGGGUGUAACGGACCCACUAGCCGAUGACGGGUAUGGGCCUUGAGAGAGGGAGCCCAGAGAUGGAUUCUGAGACACGAAUCCAGGCCCUACGGGGCGCAGCAGUCGCGAAAACUUCACAAUGGAGGCAACUCCGAUGAGGGAAUUCCUAGUGCCAAUGCAUUUUGUGUUGGCUUUUCUUCAGCGUAGAUAACUGAUGGAAUAAGGGCUGGGUAAGACGGGUGCCAGCCGCCGCGGUAAUACCCGCAGCCCAAGUGGUGGUCGAUAUUAUUGAGUCUAAAACGUUCGUAGCCGGUUCAAUAAUCUCUGGGUAAAUCGGAGGGCUCAACCUUCCGAAUUCCGGAGCGACUGUUGAACUUGGGACCGGGAGAGGCAAGAGGUACUUCUGGGGUAGGGGUAAAAUCCUGUAAUCCUAGAAGGACCACCGGUGGCGAAGGCGUCUUGCUAGAACGGAUCCGACGGUGAGGGACGAAGCCCUGGGUCGCAAACCGGGAUUAAAUACCCCGGUAGUCCAGGGUGUAGACGCUGCAGACUUGGUGU
rnacentral:rRNA from 1 species